rnacentral:rRNA from 1 species
CCUACGGGAGGCAGCAGUGGGGAAUUUUGGACAAUGGGGGCAACCCUGAUCCAGCCAUUCCGCGUGAGUGAAGAAGGCCUUCGGGUUGUAAAGCUCUUUCGCAAGGGAAGAAAACUUAUGAUCGAAUAAAUCAUGAGGUUGACGGUACCUUGAUAAGAAGCACCGGCUAACUACGUGCCAGCAGCCGCGGUAAUACGUAGGGUGCGAGCGUUAAUCGGAAUUACUGGGCGUAAAGCGUGCGCAGGCGGUUUUGUAAGUCGGAUGUGAAAUCCCCGGGCUCAACCUGGGAACUGCGUUCGAAACUGCAAGGCUAGAGUGUGUCAGAGGGGGGUAGAAUUCCACGUGUAGCAGUGAAAUGCGUAGAGAUGUGGAGGAAUACCAAUGGCGAAGGCAGCCCCCUGGGAUAACACUGACGCUCAUGCACGAAAGCGGGGGGAGCAAACAGGAUUAGAUACCCUGGUAGUCCACGCCCUAAACGAUGUCAACUAGUUGUUGGUAGAGUAAAACUCUAUGAGUAACGUAGCUAACGCGUGAAGUUGACCGCCUGGGGAGUACGGUCGCAAGAUUAAAACUCAAAUGAAUUGAGGCUGAGAGNGCGACGACGACGACGAGGGAGGAGG